rnacentral:misc_RNA from 1 species
AACGCACAUUGCGCCCCUUGGUAUUCCGGGGGGCAUGCCUGUUCGAGCGUCAUUUCAACCCUCAAGCUAUGCUUGGUCUUGGGCACUGCCGGUGACGGCUUGCCUUAAAAUCAGUGGCGGUGCCAUUCGAGCUCUACGCGUAGUAAUUAUAUCCUCGCGAUUGAGUCUUGGUGGAUGCUAGCCAGCAACCCUCAAUUUUUUAUGGUUGACCUCGGAUCAGGUAGGGAUACCCGCUGAACUUAA